ACAGUCACCAUCUCCUUCAGGACCUGUGGUGGAAAAGUCCAGUUUGUCAGCCUGUGGGCCUGUAAUGAGGAGAGAGUGGAAUGGGAACCAAUAGUCAAGACCAGCCAGACAAGUUUUGGCUGUCUUUUUAUCCUGUUGGAAAACCCUUGCAAGACCAGGCAGAAGCAGGAUGGACUGGGUACUAUUGUCAAAAACAGCCUUCGGGAAUCCAGAGAUUGUGGGAGAUUGCUCAUGUGCUUUUUCUUUCAGGGCCAGCAAAUGUCCUCAGAGGUUACUGGGCAUCUCUCUAGAAACCAACCUCUUUAAUUCUCCUAUGAUGCCAGGAGGAAGCCGGCCAUUCAGACUUUGCCUUCUGUGAGCCGCGUGCUUUUCUGGCGAGCCGGACGCCUCACAUCGAAGCUGAUGUGGCUCAGCACCGAGUUCGGGCUGGACGGUACUUGUUAACCGGCAG